AAUCUCCUGUUCCCUUUUCCAUCAGAUUUUGUGGCUGGUCUUGGUGGUCACAAAGAUGGAAGAGAACCCAAGCUGAUCUCACAGCCAUGUAGUUUGGUACAGAGCAUGUGGGCCAGAUUCAAGCAGGC